GACGAACGCUGGCGGCGUGCCUAAUACAUGCGAGUAGAACGCUGAAACUUGGUGCUUGCACCGAGCGGAUGAGUUGCGAACGGGUGAGUAACGCGUAGGUAACCUGCCUGGUAGCGGGGGAUAACUAUUGGAAACGAUAGCUAAUACCGCAUAAGAGUAGAUGUUGCAUGACAUUUGCUUAAAAGGUGCAAUUGCACCACUACCAGAUGGACCUGCGUUGUAUUAGCUAGUUGGUGGGGUAACGGCUCACCAAGGCGACGAUACAUAGCCGACCUGAGAGGGUGAUCGGCCACACUGGGACUGAGACACGGCCCAGACUCCUACGGGAGGCAGCAGUAGGGAAUCUUCGGCAAUGGACGGAAGUCUGACCGAGCAACGCCGCGUGAGUGAAGAAGGGUUUCGGAUCGUAAAGCUCUGUUGUAAGAGAAGAACGAGUGUGAGAGUGGAAAGUUCACACUGUGACGGUAUCUUACCAGAAAGGGACGGCUAACUACGUG
rnacentral:rRNA from 1 species